GUUCGGUCCCUAUCCGUCGCGGGCGCAGGAAAUUUGAGAGGAGCUGUCCUUAGUACGAGAGGACCGGGAUGGACGCACCGCUGGUGUACCAGUUGUUCUGCCAAGGGCAUCGCUGGGUAGCUAUGUGCGGACGGGAUAAGUGCUGAAAGCAUCUAAGCAUGAAGCCCCCCUCAAGAUGAGAUUUCCCAUUCCGCAAGGAAGUAAGAUCCCUGAAAGAUGAUCAGGUUGAUAGGUCUGAGGUGGAAGUGUGGCGACACAUGGAGCUGACAGAUACUAAUCGAUCGAGGACUUAACCAAUUU
rnacentral:rRNA from 1 species